CCUACGGGAGGCAGCAGUGAGGACUAUUGGUCAAUGGACGAGAUUCUGAACCAGCCAAGUAGCGUGAAGGAUGACUGCCCUAUGGGUUGUACACUUCUUUUAUAAAGGAAUAAAACGAGGCACGUGUGCCUUUUUGCAUGUACUUUAUGUAUAAGGAUCGGCUAACUCCGUGCCAGCAGCCGCGGUAAUACGGAGGAUCCGAGCGUUAUCCGGUUUUAUUGGGUUUAAAGGGAGCGUAGAUGGGUUGUUAAGUCAGUUGUGAAAGUUUGCGGCUCAACCGUAAAAUUGCAAUUGAUACUGGCAGUCUUGAGUACAGUAGAGGUAGGCGGAAUUCGUGGUGUAGCGGUGAAAUGCUUAGAUAUCACGAAGAACCCCGAUUGCGAAGGCAGCUUACUAAACUGUGACUGACAUUGAGGCUCGAAAGUGUGGGUAUCAAACAGGAUUAGAUACCCUGGUAGUC
rnacentral:rRNA from 1 species